AGUAAGCAUCCUAUCUGUUAGAAACAAGUCAAAAAGGACUGAGGUUGUCUGAACACGGACUUUUUCCUUCCAGCUUCAGAAAUGAGCCCUUGUUUGCUAGUAUCUCUUUCCUGAGACAGUAAAGAACACUCAGACAAGUACCGCAUGCUGCUAAGAUGGUCAACAGUGAAAACAGAAAGGCUCUCUCUUGUGCUAUAGCCCUGACAGAGAAGAAUCUACUUAGAUGGAUAUUCAG
rnacentral:lncRNA from 1 species